GCUGAGUGUGGUGGUGCACACCCGUAAUCCCAGCUACUUGGGAGGCCGAGGCAGGAGAAUCGCUUGAACCCAGGAGGCCAGAGGUUGCAGUGAGCUGAGAUCGUGCCACUGCACUCCAGCCUGGGUGACAGAGAGAGACUCUGUCUCAA
ensembl:misc_RNA Metazoa_SRP Metazoan signal recognition particle RNA